CCUACGGGGGGCUGCAGUGGGGAAUAUUGGACAAUGGGGGGAACCCUGAUCCAGCCAUGCCGCGUGUGUGAAGAAGGCCCUCGGGUUGUAAAGCACUUUCAGUGAGGAAGAACGCCUGGUGGUUAAUACCCAUCAGGAAAGACAUCACUCACAGAAGAAGCACCGGCUAACUCCGUGCCAGCAGCCGCGGUAAUACGGAGGGUGCGAGCGUUAAUCGGAAUUACUGGGCAUAAAGCGCGCGUAGGUGGCUUGAUAAGCCGGUUGUGAAAGCCCCGGGCUCAACCUGGGAACGGCAUCCGGAACUGUCAAGCUAGAGUGCAGGAGAGGAAGGUAGAAUUCCCGGUGUAGCGGUGAAAUGCGUAGAGAUCGGGAGGAAUACCAGUGGCGAAGGCGGCCUUCUGGACUGACACUGACACUGAGGUGCGAAAGCGUGGGUAGCAAACAGGAUUAGAUACCCGGGUAGUC
rnacentral:rRNA from 1 species